UACGGGGGGGGCAAGCGUUGUUCGGAAUUACUGGGCGUAAAGGGCUCGUAGGCGGCCAACUAAGUCAGACGUGAAAUCCCUCGGCUUAACCGGGAACUGCGUCUGAUACUGGAUGGCUUGAGAUUGGGAGAGGGAUGCGGAAUUCCAGGUGUAGCGGUGAAAUGCGUAGAUAUCUGGAGGAACACCGGUGGCGAAGGCGGCAUCCUGGACCAACACUGACGCUGAGGAGCGAAAGCCAGGGGAGCAAACGGG
rnacentral:rRNA from 1 species